CACACACACACACACACACACACGAAGAGGUGAAGACGAGAAGAGGCAACUUCUAGAACCAGCAGCAGCAGGAUAGAUGUGCAUCCUAGCACCAGAUAGAGGGAACACACCACUUAGAACUUGGUUUUUUAAAAAAGAAAAAGAAAUGUCCCAAUAUGCCUUUGAUCCAUCCUUUCCUUUCAAUAUGACUUCUGCAGAAGAACAUCUCAGUAGAUUAUUCCCAGGAUUCGUACUCUUUGGGUGAACGUUGGUUGCAUUUAGAAAUGGAAGAGGUCAAUCCACAGCAGAGCUGGGACACCAGCAGGACUAAUGAAGAGAGGAGGCAAACAGCAAGACAGGACCCAGGCAACAAGGCAGAAACCAGACAUCACAGGAGGAACCAGGCAGCGAGAUCCUGUUCUUCCUCCAAGGAGCCCAGAACAUGAUUCAUACAUGGUUGUGUGAAUCCUCACAACAACCCUGUGAGGUAGCUUAGGCUGAGAGAUACGUGACUGGCCCAGAGUCACCCAGUGAGUUUCAUGGCUG